GACAUCAGGAGGUUAGUGCAAUGGCAUAAGCCAGCUUGACUGCGAGCGUGACGGCGCGAGCAGGUGCGAAAGCAGGUCAUAGUGAUCCGGUGGUUCUGAAUGGAAGGGCCAUCGCUCAACGGAUAAAAGGUACUCCGGGGAUAACAGGCUGAUACCGCCCAAGAGUUCAUAUCGACGGCGGUGUUUGGCACCUCGAUGUCGGCUCAUCACAUCCUGGGGCUGAAGUAGGUCCCAAGGGUAUGGCUGUUCGCCAUUUAAAGUGGUACGCGAGCUGGGUUUAGAACGUCGUGAGACAGUUCGGUCCCUAUCUGCCGUGGGCGCUGGAGAACUGAGGGGGGCUGCUCCUAGUACGAGAGGACCGGAGUGGACGCAUCACUGGUGUUCGGGUUGUCAUGCCAAUGGCACUGCCCGGUAGCUAAAUGCGGAAGAGAUAAGUGCUGAAAGCAUCUAAGCACGAAACUUGCCCCGAGAUGAGUUCUCCCUGAGACUUAAAGUCUCCUGAAGGAACGUUGAAGACGACGACGUUGAUAGGCCGGGUGUGUAAGCGCAGCGAUGCGUUGAGCUAACCGGUACUAAUGAACCGUGAGGCUUAACCUUACAACGCCGAAGGUGUUU
rnacentral:rRNA from 1 species